rnacentral:lncRNA from 7 species
CAUUGGUGGGUUGGGGGCGGGGGUGGGCGGGGCGAGCGUCCAACGGGCUCCGCCCUCCGCGCCGCGCCAGAUGGCCUAAAAGGGGCGGGGCGGAGCGCGCCCAUUCAUGCGGGCCGGACGGGGGCGUGGCCCGGCCGGAGCCGUUCCCGCUGGCGCGCCGCAGGCAGGUCCCCACAUGACACACGGUGUCCUCCAGCCCGCGCUGCAACGAUGGAUUGAACUUUAGUCUCCAAGCAAUUAAGGUGCCCUGAAACUGCACUUCAUUAAUGGUUGUUAUGCAAUAAAAACAAUAAAACUGCCCUUAUUUGCAAUAUAAAAAAGCAAUUA